rnacentral:rRNA from 1 species
GACGAACGCUGGCGGCGUGCCUAAUACAUGCAAGUAGGACGCAGUUGCGAACGGGUGAGUAACGCGUAGGUAACUGCCUAUUAGAGGGGGAUAACUAUUGGAAACGAUAGCUAAUACCGCAUACUAGUAGAUGGACCUGCGUUGUAUUAGCUAGUAGGUAGGGUAAUGGCCUACCUAGGCAACGAUAGAUAACCGACCUGGAAGGGGGGUCAGCAAAACCUGGACUUAGAAACGGCCCAGACCCCUACGGGAGGCAGCAGUAGGGAAGCUUCGGAAAUGGGGGGAAACCUGACCGAGCAACGCCGCGGUAGUUAAAGAGGUUUUCGGGUCGUAAAACCCUGUUGUGAAGGAAGCGGUACCUACAGAGAAAGGAACGGCUAACUACGUGCCAGCAGCCGCGGUAAUAC